rnacentral:rRNA from 1 species
GAUGAACGCUGGCGGCGUGCCUAAUACAUGCAAGUCGAGCGAACGGACGAGAAGCUUGCUUUUCUGAUGUUAGCGGCGGACGGGUGAGUAACACGUGGAUAACCUACCUAUAAGACUGGGAUAACUUCGGGAAACCGGAGCUAAUACCGGAUAAUAUUUUGAACCGCAUGGUUCAAAAGUGAAAGACGGUCUUGCUGUCACUUAUAGAUGGAUCCGCGCUGCAUUAGCUAGUUGGUAAGGUAACGGCUUACCAAGGCAACGAUGCAUAGCCGACCUGAGAGGGUGAUCGGCCACACUGGAACUGAGACACGGUCCAGACUCCUACGGGAGGCAGCAGUAGGGAAUCUUCCGCAAUGGGCGAAAGCCUGACGGAGCAACGCCGCGUGAGUGAUGAAGGUCUUCGGAUCGUAAAACUCUGUUAUUAGGGAAGAACAUAUGUGUAAGUAACUGUGCACAUCUUGACGGUACCUAAUCAGAAAGCCACGGCUAACUACGUGCCAGCAGCCGCGGUAAUACGUAGGUGGCAAGCGUUAUCCGGAAUUAUUGGGCGUAAAGCGCGCGUAGGCGGUUUUUUAAGUCUGAUGUGAAAGCCCACGGCUCAACCGUGGAGGGUCAUUGGAAACUGGAAAACUUGAGUGCAGAAGAGGAAAGUGGAAUUCCAUGUGUAGCGGUGAAAUGCGCAGAGAUAUGGAGGAACACCAGUGGCGAAGGCGGCUUUCUGGUCUGUAACUGACGCUGAUGUGCGAAAGCGUGGGGAUCAAACAGGAUUAGAUACCCUGGUAGUCCACGCCGUAAACGAUGAGUGCUAAGUGUUAGGGGGUUUCCGCCCCUUAGUGCUGCAGCUAACGCAUUAAGCACUCCGCCUGGGGAGUACGACCGCAAGGUUGAAACUCAAAGGAAUUGACGGGGACCCGCACAAGCGGUGGAGCAUGUGGUUUAAUUCGAAGCAACGCGAAGAACCUUACCAAAUCUUGACAUCCUUUGACAACUCUAGAGAUAGAGCCUUCCCCUUCGGGGGACAAAGUGACAGGUGGUGCAUGGUUGUCGUCAGCUCGUGUCGUGAGAUGUUGGGUUAAGUCCCGCAACGAGCGCAACCCUUAAGCUUAGUUGCCAUCAUUAAGUUGGGCACUCUAAGUUGACUGCCGGUGACAAACCGGAGGAAGGUGGGGAUGACGUCAAAUCAUCAUGCCCCUUAUGAUUUGGGCUACACACGUGCUACAAUGGACAAUACAAAGGGCAGCGAAACCGCGAGGUCAAGCAAAUCCCAUAAAGUUGUUCUCAGUUCGGAUUGUAGUCUGCAACUCGACUACAUGAAGCUGGAAUCGCUAGUAAUCGUAGAUCAGCAUGCUACGGUGAAUACGUUCCCGGGUCU